UCGUGGGGAGUUGUGUCCUACGACAGCUGCAGAGGGUUGGGGAGAUGCAUGUGGAGAGGGAUUGGAGAUAACCGCACCCCCGAUCCAGACCCACUCCUCAUGCGGUGCCUCCUCCUCCUUCUCACAGGCGCUGCACCAUUCCUCCCUUCUGCCCCCUCCUCCUUCCCGGAUCCCCGCCACGGUGCUGCCUUGCAGGCAAAGGACGACAGUGGUGGUGCGUAGGAGAGAGAAAAUGAGAGGGAGAGAGAGAAGGAGAAGAGGGAUAAAGAGAGGAAGAGAAGAGGAGGCAAGGCAUCGGAUGUGAGAGAGCAGGGGAGGGCCAAGAGGCCAGCGGUGUGGGCUGGAGCAGAGAGGCCGGAGACCCGGGCGGCGGACGCCUCACGGGGUGGCGGAGAGGCUAGCGAUAGGGAAGGAGCAACAUCAUCAUGGAUCUAUAGGGAAGGUGAGGUUCUGACGGCUAAAGAUGGUGCACAGCCGGUGGCACGUCCUCCCCGCUCUCGCUCGCUCGCAUAGUCUUGGGGAUCGCGGGCUCGGCGAACCUCUGGCCAUGCCGCCGCGAGUAUGUCCGCCUCUGGUGUGAUCCCGACUCCAUGCGCGGCCACGUCUGGCUCGACGCUAGCGUGCUCGGAACGCUGGGGCCCAGCGCUGCCGGGGAGGACUAGCUCCCGCCGAACCGGGUGUCCGAGGACACCUUACGCUGAAUGUACACCAACCCGACGGGCCACCCUUCUGGGCUCCGGAUCACACGCAUCGCUGCCGAGGCCGUACGGCUUGUGGGAGGCGGGGGUGCGCGGUUGGUUGUUCUCGUGGACGACGACACUGUGCUGUCCCCGGACAACCUCAUGGCGUGCUCGGGAAGUAUGACUAGAGGGAGAUGGUGUACGUCGGGGCCUUGUCGGAGAGCCACUCGGCCAGCACCUAUUUCAGCCACGGCAAGGCGUUCGGAGGCGGAGACUGAGCGCUCAGCUCCACCAUCGGCACUGUGCUCACGUGGACACUCGACGUGUGCAUCGAGAGGUACCCCAGGCUGUAUGGAAGCAAUGACCGCCUCCAUGCUUGCAUCACCGAGCUUAGCGUACCACUUCCGUGCGAAUAUGGAUUCCAUCAGGUAUGUUUGGGUGUUCAUAUUUUUGAUAGCCAAAUACGAAUAGGUGCACUUGACUAUUUGAGGAAAUGCCAACUGAAAGCGAAAUUCAGUUAGAACUAGCCUUUUGCAUGUGUGUUCUUGAUGCUUCAUGUACGACCACAUAGUAGGGACGCAAUAAAUAUUUCUUAGCUAGGUUGCUUGCCUAAUGAAGCUCCCACGUGGACCAUUUACUCCUCUGUGUUAUUGGAAUUUGUUUGCGGUGUUUGCUCAGGCUGAAGAAAUUCAUGUCGUUUUCCUCCAUUUAUUUUCUUUCAUGCGUAAGUACUACCUUUGGCAAUUACCCUUUCCAGCCUAUUAAUCACCGAGAAAGGUUUUGAUCCAAUCUACGGAAUAAGGUCACAUUGUUGAUUGCAGGAUCAGAAGAUGCUUUACACAUAAUUGUAUGAUGCUUAGAGACAUUUUGCACAAUGGAAACUUCUUGUGAAGCUUGAUCUUAUUCAGGUGCCUAACUUACUACCACUUACUAGGUGUUUGUGCUUACCAGUAUGCCAGCAACUUCUUAGCAAGCUCGCCAUUUCAGAGCCAUAUGAAUUUUUUGUAGAAACAUGAGCAGAGUAAAAUGGAAACAGCUUCUAGUACAUCUGAGGUAUCGAACCGGCAAUCUUUGUUGAAUGUUGAGCUUUUUCAUCUAUAACUGUGUUUUCUUUAAAGUUAACUAUAGAAGCAUUGCUUUUAUUCUCAGGUUUUGUUUUUCUUUCAUGUUUCCUAUCCAACAUAAAAUAAGUGUCACUGGUUGUAGUCAUCAUGUCUAAAGUCAACGCUGCAUUUUCUGCCACAUGUUUACUGAUUUUUCUAUUUUCAUUCCUAUGGCCUGUAUUUUUGUAGGGAGCUUCUUUUAUGCUUGGUUACCAAACUUAUUAAUUAGCAUGCCUAUUUCUCUGCAUUGUAUAGCCUUUAUUAUAUUAUAACUGCAAAGAAUGUAGUUUGAGGAUAAUCUGCCAAUUCUUCUGUAUUGGAUAUAAAAUAAUUAGGCAUUUCUAAAUUGUCUGGAAUUUCCCUGAACUGAAAAAUGGACGGAUUUACUUGCUGCCUGAACUACUAAACAUAAAAUUGAAAAACCUUUUACUGCCUUUUUGUUUGUACUUUCCAUAAUGAACUUGGUUUCUGUUCACACACAUGUACUGCUACAUUAUCCUAUACAUGUUGUCUGAAUAAUGUGAGAGCCAUUUUGUUGGUGCUUUCCAUAUUGAUGUAGCACACAUCAGCAAGUUUGAGAUGUAGCACUCUUCACUUUUGUCGCUGGUUUACAUUUGUCAAUCCUGGGAAUUGAUUAGUGUCUUCUGUUUUGACUCUAGAUUUGAAUAGUGCCCAGGUAGUGUUCAUUAGUAGGUUAAAAGUACGUUCAAGUUAUUUAUUAAAUCAUGAUGUACAAAAGGUUUAUCUAAUUGGGACUCCAAGUCUGCAACCAAAGUAGAAAUAAGGCCAUGGAGCAAGAGUUCCGUUGGGCAUCCUUUGCAUUUCUCUUGUCAUGUUCCAUGCUUCACAACAUGUGGGCAAACAUAUCAGUACACAUGCACCACUGCAGGUUGUAAUGUCAUUUAAUAAGGGAUGUAUUUGGGUACUUUAUUUCCAUUAUAAACUAAUAAUAGUUAAGAGCUUAGUAAGGUAACAAUAAUCUAGGAUAUAUAGUAGAAUAUUAGAUGUGCUUGUAUAAGUAGAAUGCAGCGUUUAGAAAUGAACUGAAAUUUGACAGUUGGAAGUGGUAGGCUUAAUUUCAUUUAGAAAAAUAGGUGUACUGCAGCAUCAUAUAUUAAGGUAAUCCCUCAGCCAAAACAAAUUGGAGGGGAAUAUUGUCAAGUUAGCGACUCAUUUUUCAUUAUGUGGGCUUUCCUUUCUUCAAAGAAAGCUCCAGCCGAAGCAAGGGCAUAUCAGCUACUAUAUCGAUAAGUUGGUUGAUUAUGUCGCCCAUGUUGUAAAUUCAACUUAGAAAUAAAGCGUUGACAAGUGUGUUCACUUCUCUCCAUGCCAAACAAAAUAUCAUCAUCUGGUUCUUUAAUCUGUUUUUAAUCCUUGUAUCAGUCUGUGACGAUGGAACCAAUUUUUCACCCAAUCUGAACUGUACGUCCAGUAGCUUCUUUGUUGUUUUACCUCUUAUUUUUUAUUCUCCAUAAAUGUACAACUUAAUAAAGUUGUUGUAUUGCUUGGGGCCAAUUUAAUUAUAUUAUGCUCAACUUUAGCUCAUGAACUACAUGGCAACACCUAAUUCUGGUUGGUCUUCUGCCACUUGUUUUAUGGCUGUAUAGGAAACAUAUGGCAUUCUUCUUUGUUGCCAAUUGUGAAUUAUUUUGUACAUGGCCUCUCAGCAGCUACCUACACUUUGCGAGGUUAUGAAAAUAUGUAGCUAGCAUGUAUGGUUUUUACAUACUUCUGCAUAGGUUGAGAUGCAUCACAUGAUCUUCUUCUCUUGACAUGGGUAUUGUAGAGUCGUUUCUUUGCCACAAAGGGCAGGAGCUGUGCCAUUCAACUCAAAAGGACAAAGAGUUCAUCACAAGUGGGUGGUCUCUAGGUUAUUUACACAAAAGAGGAAAUUACUUUUUGUAUAGAACCAAAUUACUCUAUCUAAUUGAGUAAAUUAUAUCAUGUAUUAAGUACA